UGGGGAAUUUUGGACAAUGGGCGCAAGCCUGAUCCAGCCAUGCCGCGUGCGGGAAGAAGGCCUUCGGGUUGUAAACCGCUUUUGUCAGGGAAGAAAUCUUCUGAGUUAAUACCUCGGGAGGAUGACGGUACCUGAAGAAUAAGCACCGGCUAACUACGUGCCAGCAGCCGCGGUAAUACGUAGGGUGCAAGCGUUAAUCGGAAUUACUGGGCGUAAAGCGUGCGCAGGCGGUUUUGUAAGACAGAGGUGAAAUCCCCGGGCUCAACCUGGGAACUGCCUUUGUGACUGCAAGGCUUGAGUGCGGCAGAGGGGGGAUGGAAUUCCGCGUGUAGCAGUGAAAUGCGUAGAUAUGCGGAGGAACACCGAUGGCGAAGGCAAUCCCCUGGGCCUGCACUGACGCUCAUGCACGAAAGCGUGGGGAGCAAAACAGGAUUAGAUACCCUGGUAGUCCACGCCCUAAACGAUGUCAACUGGUUGUUGGGAAGGUUCCUUCUCAGUAACGUAGCUAACGCGUGAAGUUGACCGCCUGGGGGAGUACGGCCGCAAGGUUGAAACUUAAAUGAAUUGACGGGGUCA
rnacentral:rRNA from 1 species